GGUCCUGAGUAGAUGCUGAACAAGUCUGAGGAAGGAUGAAGAGGGAAGGAGAAGGAAAGACAGGCGGAAGCCACCGCCUUCCUACGCCGGCCUCCUUUGCCCUCUUCGCACGCCAGGGCUCUGGGUCCAUUCGGUUCGCCCUCAAAUUCAGUCCUCUCUGAAAUUGCAGAAGUCUCUGAAGCAUAUAAUUUGUGGCUUCCAAUGAGUUUGAACUUCAUGCUUGAAGUGAUGCACAAGCCCUGGAUAUCCUGGUACGCGCAGAAACUGAACCAAGGCACAGCCGACAGUUGCUUCAACUUGGCAAAGAUUAAACGUAAGACAGUUUCAUCUGAAACUUGAAAAAUAUCAUCACCAACCAUUAAUAACAAGCCCAUGGACUGAUUUUCAACUGUAGAAGCUGAAAAGAAAGAAUAAAAGAUAUUUUUCUCUCAUUUUCACUGAGAACCAAAAUAUUCAUGUCCAAAACCAAGGGCCAUGAUGAAUGCUUUCAAGCACACUCUGCACACUCUUAAAUGAUGCAAAUUUCUCUAUCUUAAAUCAUCAGACAAAUUCAUCUCUUAAGGCCACUUCCUUCAUUGAAACAUCACUCUUUCAGCUUUGCCAACCAUAGCAGAUUUCUUUUCCUGAUAAUACCAACCAAGGGAAGACCUACAUUAGUACCUGUUUUUGCUAACGGAAAGAAAUCUGAAGAAGAUUUUCACCUUGACAAGAUGUCUAUUUUCAGAUGGCUUAUUCUCGCCAAAGAUGAGAAUUACCAUUAUGCUCCCUUACUACAUGACUUCUGCAGAUAAAUCAACAACGAAGAAUCUUCCAGACAGCAACCUCUGGGAUCACAGAGAACAACGGAUAAAAAAGAUUCAUCCAAAGAGCAAACCAGGAGAUGGCUUCACCAGGGAAUUUACUCUGCCAGUUCAGGCCUCUUUUCUAUGCCUUCCCUGUGUAUGAGAUAUUUAUGUGGAUCAUUGACUUCUGCUAUGUUCCAUUCUUCCCUUUUCCAAGUAGUCUAGUGUGGUUUUCCUAUUCUAUCACCAUUGUACACUGGAUAUGUUGAGAAGUAGAUAAAUGUGUCAUUGAGUAUAGAGGUGAUGUACCUGGAGGGGCACAUCUCUCAAAUACCUGAGACUUUUAGCUGAAGACGGUCCUGGUACAGAAAUUUGGAUUGUCUUUCUUGGGGAGGGGUGAUAUUAUUCUGCACAUGGGAAGAAGAGAAUGCAUUGUUUUUGUGUGCGUGGCCAAAGGGAUGCAUUAGGGUAAAGACUGUUCCCAAACACCCAUUCUUCCCUUAUCUAAGAGUAAUGGAUAUUUAGAUUAAUUUAUAGAUUUUUAGCUGGACAUAUAGUUGCCAGAAUAUAGAGCAUAUUCCCCAACUUUCUCAAUAUCUCCAAAACCCAUAUGACAAAGCCUUGGACAAUGAUGUAUGAGAAAAAAGUAAUAAGUCUUCAAAAAGUUAAACAUGAAGUUACCGUAAAGCCCAGAAAUUCCAUGCCUACGUGCAUAACUGAGAGAAUUGAAAACAUUCCCACAUAUAAAUUUGUCCAUGUUUGUUCAAAGCAACAUUAUUCAUAAAAGCCAAAAAGUAGAAGAAAUUCAAAUGCUUAUCAACUGAGGAAUGGGUAAAUAAAAUAUGAAAUGCAGGCACAUCAUACAACAGAAUAUCAUUCUGCAGUGAAAAGGAAUAAAGUACUGACAUACAUACAAUAUAUAUCAACCUUGAAAACAUUAUGUUAAGUGAACAAAGGAUGUCACA